AGUCCUAUAACUCAGCUGGUUAGAGUACCGUGCUUACAAUGUCAAAGUGCGAGAGUCGAGAGUUCGAGCCUCUCUGGGACUG